UCCCAUCCAUAUUGUGGAGGUCGGCGCCCCGGACUCCCAUCGUGAUGCUUCCUCUGCUCCUGGUGCCCCGGAUGCCCCCCUUCGAGACAGCCGGUCCGACCGACGGCAAAAGAAGAAGAGUCGCGCUGAGAAACGAAAGUCGGUCGCCGCCUCCUUGAUGACGGACUCGGUCCAAAUUGAGGACUUGGACGCUUCUGAGAACAGCCCUGGUGCCAGCCAC
rnacentral:lncRNA from 1 species